CUUCAGUGUUUUUAAGGGACCAUGAUAUGGAUGGAGUCUGUAACCUCUGCCAUGCUAGUUGAGAAGGCUGAAGCUCAGAAAUGUAAACUUGUCCGAAGUUAAUGACCUUGGAGGUUGGGACUUCUUCGGGCUUUCCUCCUGCAAAUUGUUGAGUACAGAAAACUUAUUAUGGAUCUGGAGAAGCUGCACAGAGUACCCUAUGAUUCUAAUAAUCUCCAACAAGAAGAUAUGCUUUUGAAGAGACUUCCAGAAGAACUGUGAUCCUGGCAUUAGAGUCCUGAUUUGAGCAAAAUCUGUGCCUUCAAGCCCUCCAGCCCCUGUGGUGUCUUCUGAGCUUCUCCAAAGCAGUGGAUCUCAUGAUGAAUUUCCUUCUUCAGCUUCUAUGUGAUUUGUGUAUCGGACUAUGGUGAAGGAGGCCAGCUUCACCUGCGGUCACCGACACUAUGAAAGAGUCCAGAAAUCCAGAAAGCUUCCUUCUGUCACUGUGGAACAGCCAGCAAACACCUUGAAUGGCAAGAGUUUGGUAAUAUUUAGCAAAAUUCAGUUAAGGCAGAUUCAGAUUAAAACUGCUUUCCCAAGCCAAGAACAAAUAGACACCAGACAUUGAUGUGGAGGGAAACACAGCUGAUCACACAGUUUUCUAAUCCCUUUUGUUUAGAGUAAAAUAUUUACAUUUAUUUUUUUUAAUGAUGAGCAAUCCUUUCUAAUGAAAAGGUGAC